GACGAACGCUGGCGGCGUGCUUAACACAUGCAAGUCGAACGAAGUGGCGAACGGGUGAGUAACGCGUAAUCAACUUGCCCUUCAGAGGGGGACAACAGUUGGAAACGACUGCUAAUACCGCAUACUGAUGAGGGGGUUUGCGGCGGAUUAGCUCGUUGGAGGGGUAACGGCCCACCAAGGCGAUGAUCAGUAGCCGGUCUGAGAGGAUGAACGGCCACAUUGGGACUGAGACACGGCCCAGACUCCUACGGGAGGCAGCAGUGGGGAAUAUUGGACAAUGGGCGAAAGCCUGAUCCAGCCAUGCCGCGUGUGUGAAGAAGGUCUUCGGAUUGUAAAGCACUUUAAGUUGGGAGGCGUUACCAGCAGAAGAAGCACCGGCUAACUUCGUGCCAGCCGCCGCGGUAAUUC
rnacentral:rRNA from 1 species